rnacentral:rRNA from 1 species
GACGAACGCUGGCGGCGUGCUUAACACAUGCAAGUCGAACGGAAAGGCCCUGCUUUUGUGGGGUGCUCGAGUGGCGAACGGGUGAGUAACACGUGAGUACCCUGCCCUUGACUGUGGGAGAACUUCAGGAAACUGAGGCUAAUACCGGAUAGGAGCUCCUGCUGCUGGGUGGGGGCUGGAAAGUUUCGGCGGUUGGGGAUGGACUCGCGGCUUAUCAGCUUGUUGGUGGGGUAGUGGAUUACCAAGGCUAUGACGGGUAGCCGGGCUGAGAGGGGGACCGGCCACACUGGGCCUGAGCUGCGACACAGCCUCGUACGGGACGCAAGAGUGGAGAAUAGUGCAUUGGGGGCUGAAGGCUGAUGCAGCAACGCCGCGUGGGGGAUGACGGCCAUCGGGUUGUAUUGCGCUUUCGUCUUUGACGAAGCGUGAGUGACGGUACCGGGUAAAUAAGCACCGGCUAACUACGUG